rnacentral:rRNA from 1 species
UGGGGAAUUUUGGACAAUGGGCGAAAGCCUGAUCCAGCAAUGCCGCGUGUGUGAAGAAGGCCUUCGGGUUGUAAAGCACUUUUGUCCGGAAAGAAAUCCUUGGCUCUAAUACAGUCGGGGGAUGACGGUACCGGAAGAAUAAGCACCGGCUAACUACGUGCCAGCAGCCGCGGUAAUACGUAGGGUGCAAGCGUUAAUCGGAAUUACUGGGCGUAAAGCGUGCGCAGGCGGUUUGCUAAGACCGAUGUGAAAUCCCCGGGCUCAACCUGGGAACUGCAUUGGUGACUGGCAGGCUAGAGUAUGGCAGAGGGGGGUAGAAUUCCACGUGUAGCAGUGAAAUGCGUAGAGAUGUGGAGGAAUACCGAUGGCGAAGGCAGCCCCCUGGGCCAAUACUGACGCUCAUGCACGAAAGCGUGGGGAGCAAACAGGAUUAGAUACCCUGGUAGUCCACGCCCAAACGAUGUAACUAGUUGUUGGGGAUUCAUUUCCUUAGUAACGUAGCUAACGCGUGAAGUUGACCGCCUGGGGAGUACGGUCGCAAGAUUAAAAUUCAAAUGAAUUG